rnacentral:misc_RNA from 1 species
CUGCCAAGGUCCCCUUUUCACUUCGA